UACAGGCUUAACACAUGCAAGUCGAGGGGCAGCAUGAGAUUAGCUUGCUAAUCUUGAUGGCGACCGGCGCACGGGUGAGUAACGCGUAUCCAACCUUCCCCCUACUCAGGCAUAGCCCGGUGAAAACCGGAUUAACUCCUGAUAGUUUCACUAGAUGGCAUCUGACGGUGAAUAAAGCUUUGCGGUAAGGGAUGGGGAUGCGUCUGAUUAGCUUGUUGGCGGGGUAACGGCCCACCAAGGCGACGAUCAGUAGGGGUUCUGAGAGGAAGGUCCCCCACACUGGUACUGAGACACGGACCAGACUCCUACGGGAGGCAGCAGUGAGGAAUAUUGGUCAAUGGGCGCAAGCCUGAACCAGCCAUGCCGCGUGCAGGAAGACGGCCUUAUGGGUUGUAAACUGCUUUUACAUAAGACUAACCGUAUAUUUGCGAAUAUACCUGAAUGUAUUAUGAGAAUAAGGAUCGGCUAACUCCGUGCCAGCCGCCGC
rnacentral:rRNA from 1 species